UGUGAACCUGCGGAAGGAUCAUUG
rnacentral:rRNA from 3 species